GCCUCCUUAGCUCAGCGGUAGAGCGUCUGCCUCGUAAGCAGAAGGCCGGGUGUUCAAGUCACUCAGGAGGCA